UGCACAGGUGACCUGGGUUUACAGGUGGUCCAGUGUCAUCACAUGGGUCCCUGUAAAGAGAACGUCAGAGGAGUAUUUGAUUACAAGAUGCUGAGCUGCUCGUUUUGAUGAUCAAGGAAGGGGCCACAAGCUUAGGAUGGCAGACGCCUCCAGAAGGUGGAAAAGGAAGGAAAUAGAUUCUCCCCUGGAGCCUCCAGAAGAAACCAGCCUGCGGGACCCCUUGAGUUUAGAGCUUUGGGCUUAGAGCUUUGGGCUUUAAAACGAACCAAGGGACUCAAACGCAGGAAGCAGUCCCACUCGAGGACGUCAGGGCAGCGCUGACACCCUUUAAUAAGUCAAGGAUGCAGUGUCCAUCACAAACCUUUCCUUCUCUGAUUGCCUGAGAUUUAUGGGAUCCUGAUGAGUCACUAGGGACGUGAAAUCAUAACUAGAAGAAACAUCACCACCAAUGAAACAGCGUGUCACAGCUCAGCGUACGUGGUCGACCCUUCCUGACAACAUCUCAUAACUGCAGAACAGAGGCCUGUGUUAUCCCGAUGUAAAUAUGGACCCCAGGAGAAACCAGCUCUUUGGACCCACGGGUGGAUGAGCAUCUGAAAUUAGGCUGUGAUGUUGUCUGAUUCUUGUGCCCCCUCCCCUUGAAGGUGGGUGUGAUCUAACUCACUGUGACACGAGAGCGUCCAGCCGGUCCAUCAGGGACAGGUCCCGAGGAGGAGUCUUAAGGAAAGUGAUAUGUGGUCUUCAGCGUCUUGAGUCUGAAGGGAAGCAGCCUCGAAGAAGAAAGAGGGCUAUUAAAGCAGGAAGCAGAACAAUGGUUGCCAGGGGCUGGCCGUGGAGGAACCACGUCGGCAACAAAAUGACGAGAGAGCAUGGAAAUGUACACAACUCAGCAGCGGUGCUGAUUCCAUAACCGUGCACAGGGCUCAACACUCACCCACCUGUCCACCUGAAAGGGCUGCUUUUACUGGAAACAAUUACGUCUCAGUAAACGUGAAUAGAAAACCAAAGGGGCCUAAUUGUUUUCAUUCCUUUCCUGCACGAGCAGCACUAAGUCCAGCGAGUCAGAUGGGUUGCACAAGCAAUUCUUUCACUUUUACGUAAAAAAUCUGUGCUGUUGCUGUUUACAACAGCCAAGACAUGGAAGCAAACUAAACCACCACCGAGAGGGGAACGGAUAAAGAAAAUGUGGUUCAUGUAUACAAUGGAAUAUUAC